rnacentral:rRNA from 1 species
UACAGAGGUGGCAAGCGUUGUUCGGAAUUACUGGGCGUAAAGGGCGCGUAGGCGGCCAUCUAAGUCAGACGUGAAAUCCCCCGGCUUAACCUGGGAACUGCGUCUGAUACUGGAAGGCUUGAGUAUGGGAGAGGGAUGUAGAAUUCCAGGUGUAGCGGUGAAAUGCGUAGAUAUCUGGAGGAAUACCGGUGGCGAAGGCGGCAUCCUGGACCAUUACUGACGCUGAGGCGCGAAAAGCUAGGGGAGCAAACGGG